CGAACGGGUGAGUAACGCGUGGGCAACCUGCCCUCUAGAUGGGGACAACAUCCCGAAAGGGGUGCUAAUACCGAAUGUGACAGUAAUCUCGCAUGAGGAUGCUGUGAAAGAUGGCCUCUAUUUAUAAGCUAUCGCUAGAGGAUGGGCCUGCGUCUGAUUAGCUAGUUGGUGGGGUAACGGCCUACCAAGGCGAUGAUCAGUAGCCGGUCUGAGAGGAUGAACGGCCACAUUGGGACUGAGACACGGCCCAGACUCC
rnacentral:rRNA from 1 species